GACGAACGCUGGCGGCGUGCUUAACACAUGCAAGUCGAACGGUAAGGCCCUUCGGGGUACACGAGUGGCGAACGGGUGAGUAACACGUGGGUGAUCUGCCCUGCACUUCGGGAUAAGCCUGGGAAACUGGGUCUAAUACCGGAUAGGACCCUGGGAUGCAUGUCCUGGGGUGGAAAGCUUUUGCGGUGUGGGAUGGGCCCGCGGCCUAUCAGCUUGUUGGUGGGGUGAUGGCCUACCAAGGCGACGACGGGUAGCUGGCCUGAGAGGGUGACCGGCCACACUGGGACUGAGAUACGGCCCAGACUCCUACGGGAGGCGGCAGUGGGGAAUAUUGCACAAUGGGCGCAAGCCUGAUGCAGCGACGCCGCGUGAGGGAUGACGGCCUUCGGGUUGUAAACCUCUUUCAGCACCGACGAAGCGCAAGUGACGGUAGGUGCAGAAGAAGGACCGGCCAACUACGUGCCAGCCGCCGCCGUAAAAC
rnacentral:rRNA from 1 species